GACGAACGCUGGCGGUGUGCUUAACACAUGCAAGUCGAACGGAAAGGCCCUGCUUUUGUGGGGUGCUCGAGUGGCGAACGGGUGAGUAACACGUGAGUAACCUGCCCUUGACUUUGGGAUAACUUCAGGAAACUGGGGCUAAUACCGGAUAGGAGCUCCUGCUGCAUGGUGGGGGUUGGAAAGUUUCGGCGGUUGGGGGUGGACUCGCGGCUUAUCAGCUUGUUGGUGGGGUAGUGGCUUACCAAGGCUUUGACGGGUAGCCGGCCUGAGAGGGUGACCGGCCACAUUGGGACUGAGAUACGGCCCAGACUCCUACGGGAGGCAGCAGUGGGGAAUAUUGCACAAUGGGCGGAAGCCUGAUGCAGCAACGCCGCGUGCGGGAUGACGGCCUUCGGGUUGUAAACCGCUUUCGCCUGUGACGAAGCGUGAGUGACGGUAAUGGGUAAAGAAGCACCGGCUAACUACGUG
rnacentral:rRNA from 1 species